GAAGUAUUCUAGUGUCCAUCAGGCCUGAACCACUGAAACCAAAGUCAACACAACGUCAUCCUAAUGUGCUGGGCUAUGCCAUGUAGAUGAAGGAUCUCCACCAGCUCCGUCUGCAGCUGAGCGUUGUUGAUGCGCUUCCUCAUCUUCAUGAUCUGGAUUAUGGCCUCCUGGACGUGGGAACGGAAAGAAUGGCGUGCAGGUGCAGUUGUGU